rnacentral:rRNA from 1 species
UGAGGAAUAUUGGUCAAUGGGCGAGAGCCUGAACCAGCCAAGUAGCGUGCAGGAUGACGGCCCUAUGGGUUGUAAACUGCUUUUAUAUGGGAAUAAAGUGAGGGACGUGUCCCUUAUUGCAUGUACCAUAUGAAUAAGGACCGGCUAAUUCCGUGCCAGCAGCCGCGGUAAUACGGAAGGUCCAGGCGUUAUCCGGAUUUAUUGGGUUUAAAGGGAGCGUAGGCUGUUUGUUAAGCGUGUUGUGAAAUGUAAGAGCUCAACUUUUAGAUUGCAGCGCGAACUGGCAGACUUGAGUGCGCACAACGUAGGCGGAAUUCAUGGUGUAGCGGUGAAAUGCUUAGAUAUCAUGACGAACUCCGAUUGCGCAGGCAGCUUACUGUAGCAUAACUGACGCUGAUGCUCGAAAGUGCGGGUAUCAAACAGG